rnacentral:rRNA from 1 species
AGUGAACGCUGGCGGUAGGCCUAACACAUGCAAGUCGAACGGCAGCACAGUAAGAGCUUGCUCUUACGGGUGGCGAGUGGCGGACGGGUGCGGAAUACAUCGGAAUCUACUUUUUCGUGGGGGAUAACGUAGGGAAACUUACGCUAAUACCGCAUACGACCUACGGGUGAAAGCAGGGGAUCUUCGGACCUUGCGCGAUUGAAUGAGCCGAUGUCGGAUUAGCUAGUUGGCGGGGUAAAGGCCCACCAAGGCGACGAUCCGUAGCUGGUCUGAGAGGAUGAUCCGCACACAGUGAACUGGGACACGGCCCAGACUCCUACGGGAGGGAGCAGGGGGGAAUAUUGGACAAGGGGCGAAAGCCUGACCCAGCCAAUCCGGGGGGGUGAAGAAGGCCUUCGGGUUGUAAAGCCCUUUUUUUGGGAAAAAAAAGCAGCAGGUUAAUACCCCGCUGUUCUGACGGUACCAAAAGAAUAAGCACCGGCUAACUGCGU